rnacentral:rRNA from 1 species
CCGCUCCCGAGUAUAAAACCUCACCUCAUCCUCCGAACCGAAAAAAAACCCCACUACCCAACCGCCGCUCUCCGAGGCUCCUGAAAGUUGCAACCUCUCCCUCUCGGCGAAUUUGGGGGUUUCUGAANNNNNNNAGGUAAACCAAGGUUUUGCUCAUGGCUCGUACUAAGCAGACCGCCCGUAAGUCCACUGGAGGAAAGGCUCCCAGGAAGCAGCUAGCCACCAAGGCUGCCCGUAAGUCUGCUCCCACCACUGGAGGAGUGAAGAAGCCUCACCGUUACCGCCCUGGAACUGUUGCUCUUCGUGAGAUCCGCAAGUACCAAAAGAGCACGGAGCUGCUCAUCAGGAAGCUUCCAUUCCAGAGGCUUGUUAGGGAGAUUGCCCAGGACUUCAAGACUGACCUCCGCUUCCAGAGCCAUGCGGUGCUGGCCCUUCAGGAGGCUGCAGAGGCCUACCUGGUCGGUCUCUUCGAGGACACCAACCUGUGCGCCAUCCAUGCCAAGCGGGUGACCAUCAUGCCCAAGGACAUUCAGCUGGCUAGGAGGAUCCGUGGCGAGAGGGCUUAAGGUGCUGUGCUUGCCUUGCCUGUGGGAAUCGCUCUGGUGGGCAUCUGUGUCUGCUUUUGCUGCUGAACACUUAUCAUGUGUCGUGAACUACUAAUACUGGUCGUGUGUAGUAAUGUCAGUAGCGUACUCUGUGCCAUACUAUGUUCGUAGAGCUGGAUCAUUUGUUCGUUGGUCGUCUUAAAUCAUCCACCUGGUGGGUGCUUAUCUGAACCUUGCAUUUUAUGUCUGAAAAUUAGUGAUUGUGUGAACUAUUAU